AAUUAAAAGAAUAAUAACAUACUCUAAAAACAAUAAAACAAAGCAAAGACAAACUAAGCCUAAAUGAGCAAAAAGCAAUAAAAAGAUAAAACUGAGAGCUCCCUUAGUCAGUCUUGGGAGUUUCAUCUUCUUCUUCUUCAACAACGAGGUCAUGAAGGAUUCGAGGAAAGGGGGCACAGCCGGGUAGUAUAUUUGGAGCCAUCAAGCGGAGAAAUCUCUGGAAUGCCUCAUCACGAGCCUUGGCUUAGGCCCAGUAGGCUUUAGACUGAGCCAUGAAGUGUUCCAACUGCUUUGACAUAUAUCCAACCACACACCGUUGUGGCUUCUAUCACCUUAUGCAACUGUGAGGUGGUCGCAUCACCUGAGGAUGGUUGUGGUGGCAAGGAAACUUCUGGAACUGGUAGAUCAUCUAAUGGUGCUGAAUGAAAAAUAGGGUGGAGGAAGUGUAGUCUUGUUGGCUGAUGCCUUGUCCUUCUUUAAGGAUUGUAACCCAUUAGCUUCUUGAUUAGAUGCAAAUCAAUAGUUGGCUUGACCUUGCAUCUUUCUUCUUCCUCAGACACCUCAACUCCGGCCUGAUGAGAAAGGGGAAAAACAAUCUACUCGAAUUCUUGAUCCCCACUCAACUAUCUCCUGUUGGAUAAUGCUACCAACGUCAUUCCCUAGCCCCUUCCUGAGGUAGUAGAGGAUCAUGACCCGCUCCUUGGAUAUGGUGGAGUUGUGGGAGGUGAGCAUGAUCUGGCGUUUGAUAAAGUAUAACAAAUGGCUAGGUAGCCUCUGAUGUCUCCCAGCCUCAAUGUCCACCACCCUGUCGGUGAAAUGUGUCACUUUAGCAAAGUCACCUGGUUCGGUUGUGAUGGUCUUUCUCUCAUCAUAAGCCUAAACGCCUUCGGUUUAUCGUCAAGGCUCUGCUAAGGAUCUAUUAUACUCUUUCAACAUCCCAUAUUCUACAUUCUUCUUGAUAUAGGCAUUAGACUUUUCUACUACUCAGGAAGUUUCUCCUUGGCUGCAGUUUGAAGAUGUUUACUAAAUCUGAACAGUUCACAUUGCUCACAGGGUUUAUGAACUUUUUUUAACUUAAAUAGGUAGAUCAAGGUAUUUAUAAGCCCACAAAUCAUAGCUCAGAGUUAUUUAAAGUGUUGCAGAUCAAAUAAAGUUAAAACCAUUUAUUCUCAGAAGUUGUAUGAAAGGAGCUCAAAUCACUGAACUUUUGAACUUGUUCUAUUUUAAUCACAUCAACUUUCAAGUUUUAAUAGAUCUUAAAUUUAAUCUAAAAAAAAAGUGUUCCGACAAUCUUCCUUCUAUAAAUUUUGAUUGAAAGCA